AAACAUGGGACCAGUCAUUAGACAUCAUUCAAAUUUGCCAUUACAAAAAAUAUUUUAACAAUGUCCAAAUUAGGGAGAAAAAAAACCAGAAGUGAAGAGCAUUGGGUAGGAAGCCAUCUUUGGUUUUUUUUUUUCCUCUCUUUUUUAAGGAGAUGCUCGAGGUUAUUUGCUCAUCUGUAUUACUGGCAGACACCGACAUGGCAGACAAUUACCCUUUUACAAGGGUCAUGGUUUUUGCUUCUGGCUUUGGCUUUGUAUCCAUCUCCACACAACACCCCUACAACCACUGUAUCAACUACUGAUGCUGUAGGAAUGAUACCAUUUACACUUGCCACGCAUCAAUGUCAAAUGGCAUGCUUAAGAAAGAGAUAGAAAAUAGGACAUAAAAAUAGGAUUUAAUAAAAAAACAGGCAUACGUGACCUUAAACAUAUUAAAUCCUAAGCCAAAAAUGUAGGUUACAAGAUGGUAACAAAGCACUCGAAAGGUGAAGCUAAGGAAUUUAGUAGCCACACCCAUCACAUGCACCUAUCCUCCUGAGAAAAGCAGGAACAAAACCAACCCUGAGGCUA